AGAGCGAACGCUGGCGGCAGGCCUAAUACAUGCAAGUCGAACGGAUCCUUCGGGAUUAGUGGCGGACGGGUGAGUAACACGUGGGAACGUGCCCUUUGGUUCGGAACAACUCAGGGAAACUUGAGCUAAUACCGGAUGUGCCCUUCGGGGGAAAGAUUUAUCGCCAUUGGAGCGGCCCGCGUCUGAUUAGCUAGUUGGUGGGGUAAAGGCCCACCAAGGCGACGAUCAGUAGCUGGUCUGAGAGGAUGAUCAGCCACACUGGGACUGAGACACGGCCCAGACUCCUACGGGAGGCAGCAGUAGGGAAUCUUGCGCAAUGGGCGAAAGCCUGACGCAGCCAUGCCGCGUGAAUGAUGAAGGUCUUAGGAUUGUAAAGCUCUUUUACCCGGGAUGAUAAUGACAGUACCGGGAGAAUAAGCCCCGGCUAACUCCGUGCCAGCAGCCGC
rnacentral:rRNA from 1 species